UACGAAGGGAGCUAGCGUUGUUCGGAAUCACUGGGCGUAAAGCGCACGUAGGCGGAUCCUUAAGUCAGGGGUGAAAUCCCGAGGCUCAACCUCGGAACUGCCUUUGAUACUGGGGAUAUCGAGUCCGGGAGAGGUGAGUGGAACUGCGAGUGUAGAGGUGAAAUUCGUAGAUAUUCGCAAGAACACCAGUGGCGAAGGCGGCUCACUGGCCCGGUACUGACGCUGAGGUGCGAAAGCGUGGGGAGCAAACAGG
rnacentral:rRNA from 1 species